GAUGAACGCUGGCGGCGUGCCUAAUACAUGCAAGUCGAGCGAACAGAUGAGGAGCUUGCUCCUCUGACGUUAGCGGCGGACGGGUGAGUAACACGUGGAUAACCUACCUAUAAGACUGGGAUAACUUCGGGAAACCGGAGCUAAUACCGGAUAAUAUAUUGAACCGCAUGGUUCAAUAGUGAAAGACGGUUUUGCUGUCACUUAUAGAUGGAUCCGCGCCGCAUUAGCUAGUUGGUAAGGUAACGGCUUACCAAGGCAACGAUGCGUAGCCGACCUGAGAGGGUGAUCGGCCACACUGGAACUGAGACACGGUCCAGACUCCUACGGGAGGCAGCAGUAGGGAAUCUUCCGCAAUGGGCGAAAGCCUGACGGAGCAACGCCGCGUGAGUGAUGAAGGUCUUCGGAUCGUAAAACUCUGUUAUUAGGGAAGAACAAAAUGUGUAAGUAACUAUGCACGUCUUGACGGUACCUAAUCAGAAAGCCACGGCUAACUACGUG
rnacentral:rRNA from 1 species